CCUCUUUGUCUGCCCGGCGACCGCUGCCCUCGGACCCUCAGCCAUGGCACGAACCUGCGGGGACACAACAGCGGAGGGGCUGCGGUUUCCAUUACUCAAGCGAUCCUCGUGCUCAUGUCCGGUGCAGCAAGUUUUAUCCGCAGCGAUUCACCUCACCUGGAGGCUGAGUACAACAGGAGCCCUUAUCAGGCCACAGCAUGUACCUCCCAAAAAGCCAAAUGCACCCAGAGUUAUUUUGUUGUGCUACAAGCUCCAGCAUUCCACAGGAUGGAGCUGCCCAGAGAGGACAGGGGUUCCUUGGCACGCUGCGAGAUCAGCGUAAGAGAGCUCCGUUUAUCCAUUCAGAUGGAACAUGGAAGGGCUGGCGCUUCCAAGCAGGCCGGAUUAUCAAACACAGCUCGUUAUUUCAGCUAAUAAGGGGAAGAAAUGCAGCACGUCCUUUUUUUUUUUUUUUUGAACUGACACUUGUGAGAUAUUUCAGGAGCGGCGUGGGGGCAAAGGGAAGAUUUAUCACAGGGUCCCAGCUGCACUUUGUUUGGAGAAGUGAUAA